GGACCCGUAGCUCAGCUGGUAGAGCGGUUGACUCAUAAUCAAUUGGCCCCAGGUUCGAGUCCUGGCGGGUCCA
rnacentral:tRNA from 1 species